GCUGUGACAAAUAUACAAAAUACAAGUGAAGUUAGACGCGUUUCUUGUUCUCAACGUAAUUUGUCCUUCAAACUAUCUCGGAACCGGCAACGUUGGAGUUGAGGACACGCAUGCGCAAAUUAGGGAGCCGCACUGUAUCUUUAGCCGCACCUCUUUAUUUUGUGGUGGUUGUAUUCAAAAAGCUAACCUAAAGAAAGAUUAUAAUUUGUGAUUAUUUUCAAUUUGUAUAUUUUUGUCUUGGGUUGUUUGGAACUAUUUUAUUAGAAAUCACUAAAUUUUUAAAUUUUACCUGUGACUAGAGAACAUUGUUAUAUUAAGGUAUUUUUAUUCUUGGUAUGAAACAAUGUUAAGACAAUACUGUGUGCUUUUUCAGUCCUAUGAAAGAAAAUGUUUUGGAUGUAACAGAGAAGUACUACAACUUUGUUAUGAAGAUUUGUCUUUAUGUUAUUUUUAUAAUGUUCAUGGAUUAUAUUUGUUUUUAUGUUUUCUUCAGUUUAAAUAAAGUUUAUGUUUUACCCA